rnacentral:rRNA from 1 species
UACGAAGGGGGCUAGCGUUGUUCGGAUUUACUGGGCGUAAAGCGCACGUAGGCGGAUCGUUAAGUCGGGGGUGAAAUCCUGGAGCUCAACUCCAGAACUGCCUUCGAUACUGGCGAUCUUGAGUCCGGAAGAGGUGAGUGGAACUCCUGGUGUAGAGGUGGAAUUCGUAGAUAUUAGGAAGAACACCAGUGGCGAAGGCGGCUCACUGGUCCGGUACUGACGCUGAGGUGCGAAAGCGUGGGGAGCAAACAGG